rnacentral:rRNA from 1 species
UCCUACGGGAGGCAGCAGUGGGGAAUAUUGCACAAUGGGGGAAACCCUGAUGCAGCGACGCCGCGUGAGUGAACAAGUAUUUCGGUAUGUAAAGCUCUAUCAGCAGGGAAGAAAAUGACGGUACCUGACUAAGAAGCCCCGGCUAACUACGUGCCAGCAGCCGCGGUAAUA